CGGCUUUCUAAAAGCCCUCGGCACAGAAAAGCUGUAGGCAUAUCUACAUCUACGCCGACAGCCUCCGUCGGCAUAGCAAAGGCCGUCGGCCUACAGAAUAGUAGGCCUACGGCCAUCGUCGGCGUACAUAGGCCGUCGGUAUAGAUGUGGGGCCGGCGACGGGCCCCGGUCCGGGGGCUGACGCCGUCGAAUCUAUGCCGACGGCUGGACGUCUGGCCGUCGGCAUAGAUACACAAAGCCACAUCAUCGAUCCGGGGUGCACCGACCAGCAUCUAUGCCGACGGC
rnacentral:lncRNA from 1 species